AAGGGAAUCUCGUGAAAAUCGGGAGCGGACCCGCCGCUGUGAUCGGGGACGAAAGCCGUAACAAACCACUGAACAUCCAUGUUUGGGAAGGAACGGUCAGUAGGAUGAUCCGUAAGCCAGAAGACCU
rnacentral:ncRNA from 2 species